rnacentral:rRNA from 1 species
UACGUAGGGUGCAAGCGUUGUCCGGAAUUAUUGGGCGUAAAGAGCUCGUAGGCGGUUCGUCACGUCGGCUGUGAAAUCCCGAGGCUCAACCUCGGGUCUGCAGUCGAUACGGGCGGACUUGAGUACUGCAGGGGAGACUGGAAUUCCUGGUGUAGCGGUGAAAUGCGCAGAUAUCAGGAGGAACACCGGUGGCGAAGGCGGGUCUCUGGGCCGUAACUGACGCUGAGGAGCGAAAGCGUGGGGAGCGAACAGG